rnacentral:rRNA from 1 species
CUAGGCAGUUACGGCGGAUGUGACACACGCGAUCCCAUCCCGAACUCGACAGUGAAACCAUCCAGCGCCGAUGAUACUUCUGCUUAAGCAGGAGGGAAAGUAGGUCGCUGCCUGGC